rnacentral:rRNA from 1 species
CGUCUGAAUAAGAAUUGUUGGGGGGCGGUAUACCGCCUACAGUGCAGAUCAGACCGAUGAGUACGCCAAUUGACUGAAUCGGCCUGUCCUACGGAGGCAGCAGUGGGAAUUUGCAUGGGAACCUGACCAGCACGCCGCGUGAGAGAGGCUUUCGGUUGUAACUUCUUUACGAGACGAGAACGUGACGUACUCGGAGAAAAGCACGCUACUACGUGCCAGCAGCGCGUAAUACGUAGUGCAAGCGUGUCCGGAUUUACUGGGUGUAAAGGGCGUGUAGGCGAGCAGCAAGUCAGAAGUGAAAUCUCCGGGCUUAACCCGGAAACUGCUUUUGAAACUGUUGCCCUUGAGUAUCGGAGAGGCAGGCGGAAUUCCUAGUGUAGCGGUGAAAUGCGUAGAUAUUAGGAGGAACACCAGUGGCGAAGGCGGCGUGCUGGACGACAACUGACGCUGAGGCGCGAAAGCGUGGGGAGCAAACAGGAUUAGAUACCCUGGUAGUCCACGCCGUAAACGAUGGAUACUAGGUGCGGGGGGACUGACCCCUUCCGUGCCGCAGUUAACACAAUAAGUAUCCCACCUGGGGAGUACGAUCGCAAGAUUGAAACUCAAAGGAAUUGACGGGGGCCCGCACAAGCAGUGGAUUAUGUGGUUUAAUUCGACGCAACGCGAAGAACCUUACCGGGAUUUGACAUCCUGCUAACGAAGUAGAGAUACAUUAGGUGCCCUUCGGGGAAAGCAGAGACAGGUGGUGCAUGGUUGUCGUCAGCUCGUGUCGUGAGAUGUUGGGUUAAGUCCCGCAACGAGCGCAACCCCUAUUGUUAGUUGCUACGCAAGAGCACUCUAGCGAGACUGCCGUUGACAAAACGGAGGAAGGCGGGGACGACGUCAAAUCAUCAUGCCCCUUAUGUCCCGGGCUACACACGUAAUACAAUGGCGGUCAACAGAGGGAAGCAAAGCCGCGAGGCAGAGCAAACCCCCAAAAGCCGUCUCAGUUCGGAUCGCAGUCUGCAACUCGACUGCGUGAAGUUGGAAUUGCUAGUAAUCGCGGAUCAGCAUGCCGCGGUGAAUACGUUCCCGGGCCUUGUACACACCGCCCGUCACACCAUGAGAGUCGGGAACACCCGAAGUCCGUAGUCUAACCGCAAGGAGGGCGCGGCCGAAGGUGGGUCUGAUAAUUGGGGUGAAGUCGUAACAAGGUAAAUCACUGGCCGUCGUAACGCCU